rnacentral:rRNA from 1 species
UACGGGGAGGCAGCAGUGGGGAAUAUUGCACAAUGGGGGAAACCCUGAUGCAGCCAUGCCGCGUGUGUGAAGAAGGACCUUCGGGUUGUAAAGCACUUUCAGUAGGGAGGAAGGUAGUGUAGUUAACACCUGCAUUAUUUGACGUUACCUACAGAAGAAGCACCGGCUAACUCCGUGCCAGCAGCCGCGGUAAUACGGAGGGUGCGAGCGUUAAUCGGAAUUACUGGGCGUAAAGCGCAUGCAGGCGGCCUGUUAAGUCAGAUGUGAAAGCCCGGGGCUUAACCUCGGAAUUGCAUUUGAAACUGGCAGGCUAGAGUCUUGUAGAGGGGGGUAGGAAUUUCAGGUGUAGCGGUGAAAUGCGUAGAGAUCUGAAGGAAUACCAGUGGCGAAGGCGGCCCCCUGGACAAAGACUGACGCUCAGAUGCGAAAGCGUGGGGAGCAAACAGGAUUAGAUACCCUGGUAG